rnacentral:rRNA from 1 species
UGCCAGACUCCUACGGGAGGCAGCAGUGGGGAAUAUUGCACAAUGGGCGAAAGCCUGAUGCAGCGACGCCGCGUGAAGGAUGAAGUAUUUCGGUAUGUAAACUUCUCUCAGCAGGGAAGAAAAUGACGGUACCUGAGUAAGAAGCCCCGGCUAACUACGUGCCAGCAGCCGCGGUAAUACGUAGGGGGCAAGCGUUAUCCGGAUUUACUGGGUGUAAAGGGAGCGUAGACGGCAGUGCAAGUCUGGAGUGAAAGGCGGGGGCUCAACCCCCGGACUGCUCUGGAAACUGUACGGCUGGAGUGCAGGAGAGGUAAGUGGAAUUCCUAGUGUAGCGGUGAAAUGCGUAGAUAUUAGGAGGAACACCAGUGGCGAAGGCGGCUUACUGGACUGUAACUGACGUUGAGGCUCGAAAGCGUGGGGAGCAAACAGGAUUAGAUACCCCAGUAAC